ensembl:snRNA U6 U6 spliceosomal RNA
GUGCUUGCUUUGGCGGCACCUAUACUAAAAUUGGAAUGAUACAGAGAUUUGUGUGACCCUUAUGCAAGAGUGACACGUACAUUUAUGAAGCAUUCCAUAUUUUU